rnacentral:lncRNA from 1 species
UGAUCUGUGGCCAGCCAAACAAUACCCACUUGUCACGCCAAAUGAAGAGAGAAAUGUCAUGGAAGAGGGAAAAGACUUUCAGCCCUCAAGAUCUACAGCUCAACAGGAACUUGAUGGGAAACCUGCUUCUCCUACUCCGGUUAUUGUGGCCUCCCACACAGCCAACAAAGAAGAAAAGAGUUUACUCGAACUAGAAGUAGAUUUGGAUAAUUUGGAAUUAGAAGAUAUUGACACAACAGAUAUCAAUCUGGAUGAAGAUAUUUUGGAUGAUUGACUGUAAUGCUUUCCAUUUACCUGACUAAACAGAUCAUUAUUAUAUAUAGCCUGAUCCUUGGCCCCUUGAGCCGACUGGCCAUCUGGAUGGAGCACGUGAUACAGCUGGACCAAGUUGGUUGCAUCAUCGAUUCUGAGAAUGAAAGGGUUUAAUGUUAUCUAGGGGUUUUCUUCAUUUGAUUCACAGUCCUAUAAAAGUGUGUGCCAACUUCAAACUAAAUUACAUUUCAGACUUUCCUCAGGCUGGAGGGAUUGGGGAAGGACCUUCAGUUUUACAGUUUCAAAAGCAUUUUCAGGAAAAUUGACUAAUUUAGGCCUCACACCAACUCCGUGAGGCAGCUAGGGCAGGAGUCACUGCAGGAAGUGUCCAAUUUAUGAAAGUGAAUAUAUUCCAAAUGUGGCUAUAUUCUUUUUGGAAAAAGAGCACCAUUUCUCACAGAAACAGCAUUCCUAAUGGUAGACAAUUUCCAGGCCAGCUUACUUCACCAGCAUGUAAUAGUCUAAUCCAACUCAGAGGACAGAAACACAGCUUCAUCCCACAUAAGCAGGAGGGUGGUGGUCACAGGGAUCUCAAAGUCACUUGCCUCUAAGUGACAUUUGCUAACAGACAAAUGCCUCUACAAGAGGCCCCCUAAGAUUCCAAGGAAAGGAUUCACAGGAACGCAUUAGUAAAAUAGCAUCCUAGUGAAGCAAAUUUGAAAUUAUACACACACAUCAG